rnacentral:rRNA from 1 species
UACGGGGGGAGCAAGCGUUGUUCGGAUUUACUGGGCGUAAAGGGCGCGUAGGCGGCGCGACAAGUCACUUGUGAAAUCUCCGGGCUUAACCCGGAGCGGCCAAGUGAUACUGUAGUGCUAGAGUGCGGAAGGGGCUACUGGAAUUCUCGGUGUAGCGGUGAAAUGCGUAGAUAUCGAGAGGAACACCUGCGGCGAAGGCGGGUAGCUGGGCAUUAACUGACGCUGAGGAGCGAAAGCAUGGGGAGCGAACAGG